rnacentral:rRNA from 1 species
AAACCAACCGGGAUUGCCUCAGUAACGGCGAGUGAAGCGGCAAAAGCUCAAAUUUGAAAUCUGGCUCCUUCGGGGUCCGAGUUGUAAUUUGAAGAAGCGACUUUGGUGUGGGCUCUUGUCUAUGUUCCUUGGAACAGGACGUCACAGAGGGUGAGAAUCCCGUGCGAUGAGAAGCCCAUUGCCGUGUAAAGCGUUUUCGACGAGUCGAGUUGUUUGGGAAUGCAGCUCUAAGUGGGUGGUAAAUUCCAUCUAAAGCUAAAUAUUGGCGAGAGACCGAUAGCGAACAAGUACAGUGAUGGAAAGAUGAAAAGAACUUUGAAAAGAGAGUGAAAAAGUACGUGAAAUUGUUGAAAGGGAAGGGCUUGAGAUCAGACUUUGUUUUUCCAUGGUGUUCUUUCGGGGAUGCCCUCUGGGUCUACAGGGCCAGCAUGGGUUCUGCGGGCGAGACAAUAGCGCAGGAAUGUGGCUCUGCUUCGGUGGAGUGUUAUAGCCUGUGCAGAUGUCGCCACGCGGGACCGAGGACUGCGGUACUAGGAUGCUGGCAUAAUGAUCUUAAGCCGC